UACGGGGGGGGCAAGCGUUGUUCGGAAUUACUGGGCGUAAAGGGCUCGUAGGUGGCCAACUAAGUCAGACGUGAAAUCCCUCGGCUUAACCGGGGAACUGCGUCUGAUACUGGAUGGCUUGAGUGUGGGAGAGGGAUGCGGAAUUCCAGGUGUAGCGGUGAAAUGCGUAGAUAUCUGCAGGAACACCCGUGGCGAAAGCGGCGCGCUGGACCACUACUGACGCUGAGGAACGAAAGCUAGGGGAGCAAACAGG
rnacentral:rRNA from 1 species